rnacentral:tRNA from 1 species
GUGGGUGUAGCUCAGUUGGUCAGAGUGCCAGGUUGUGGCCCUGGAGGUCGAGGGUUCGAGCCCCUUCACCCACCCCA